UACGGAGGGGGCGAGCGUUAUUCGGAAUUAUUGGGCGUAAAGGGCGCGUAGGCGGCUGUACAAGUCAAAGGUGAAAUCCCUCGGCUCAACUGAGGAACUGCCUUUGAAACUGUACGGCUUGAGGCCGGGAGGGGGGUAGCGGAAUUCCCCAAUGUAGCGGUGAAAUGCGUAGAUAUUGGGGAGGAACACCAGUGGCGAAGGCGGCUACCUGGACCGGUUCUGACGCUGAUGCGCGAAAGCGUGGGUAGCAAACAGG
rnacentral:rRNA from 1 species